rnacentral:rRNA from 1 species
GACGAACGCUGGCGGCGUGCUUAACACAUGCAAGUCGAACGGAAAGGCCCUGCUUUUGUGGGGUGCUCGAGUGGCGAACGGGUGAGUAACACGUGAGUAACCUGCCCUUGACUUUGGGAUAACUUCAGGAAACUGGGGCUAAUACCGGAUAGGAGCUCCUGCUGCAUGGUGGGGGUUGGAAAGUUUCGGCGGUUGGGGAUGGACGCGCGGCUUAUCAGCUUGUUGGUUGGGUAGUGGCUUACCAAGGCUUUGACGGGUAGCCGGCCUGAGAGGGUGACCGGCCACAUUGGGACUGAGAUACGGCCCAGACUCGUACGGGAGGCAGCAGUGGGGAAUAUUACACAAUGGGCGGGAGCCUGAUGCAGCAACGCCGCGUGCGGGAUGACGGCCUUCGGGUUGUAAACCGCUGUCGCCUGUGACGAAGCGUGAGUGACGGUAAUGGGUAAAGAAGCACCGGCUAACUACGUG